rnacentral:tRNA from 1 species
UCAGCGGCCGAGUGGAUAACGCGAUGGUGUUUGAAGCGAAAGGUACUGGGUUCGAGUCCCAGAGUGA